CGUUAGCGGCGGACGGGUGAGUAACACGUGGGCAACCUGCCCCUUAGACUGGGAUAACUCCGGGAAACCGGAGCUAAUACCGGAUAAUCCCUUUCUCCACCUGGAGAGAGGGUGAAAGAUGGCUUCGGCUAUCACUAGGGGAUGGGCCCGCGGCGCAUUAGCUAGUUGGUAAGGUAACGGCUUACCAAGGCGACGAUGCGUAGCCGACCUGAGAGGGUGAUCGGCCACACUGGGACUGAGACACGGCCCAGACUCCUACGGGAGGCAGCAGUAGGGAAUCUUCCGCAAUGGACGAAAGUCUGACGGAGCAACGCCGCGUGAGUGAGGAAGGCCUUCGGGUCGUAAAGCUCUGUUGUGAGGGAAGAAGCGGUACCGUUCGAAUAGGGCGGUACCUUGACGGUACCUCACCAGAAAGCCACGGCUAACUACGUGCCAGCAGCCGCGGUAAUACGUAGGUGGCAAGCGUUGUCCGGAAUUAUUGGGCGUAAAGCGCGCGCAGGCGGCUUCUUAAGUCUGAUGUGAAAUCUCGGGGCUCAACCCCGAGCGGCCAUUGGAAACUGGGGAGCUUGAGUGCAGAAGAGGAGAGUGGAAUUCCACGUGUAGCGGUGAAAUGCGUAGAGAUGUGGAGGAACACCAGUGGCGAAGGCGACUCUCUGGUCUGUAACUGACGCUGAGGCGCGAAAGCGUGGGGAGCAAACAGGAUUAGAUACCCUGGUAGUCCACGCCGUAAACGAUGAGUGCUAGGUGUUAGGGGUUUCGAUGCCCGUAGUGCCGAAGUUAA
rnacentral:rRNA from 1 species